rnacentral:rRNA from 1 species
GAUGAACGCUGGCGGCGUGCCUAAUACAUGCAAGUCGAGCGAACAGAUAAGGAGCUUGCUCCUUUGACGUUAGCGGCGGACGGGUGAGUAAUACGUGGGUAACCUACCUAUAAGACUGGGAUAACUUCGGGAAACCGGAGCUAAUACCGGAUAACAUUUGGAACCGCAUGGUUCUAAAGUGAAAGAUGGUUUUGCUAUCACUUAUAGAUGGACCCGCGCCGUAUUAGCUAGUUGGUAAGGUAACGGCUUACCAAGGCGACGAUACGUAGCCGACCUGAGAGGAUGAUCGGCGACAAUGGAACUGAGACACGGUCCAGACUCCUACGGGAGGCUGCAGUAGGGAAUCUUACGCAAUGGGCGAAAGCCUGACGGAGCAACGCCGCGUGAGUGAUGAAGGGUUUCGGCUCGUAAAACUCUGUUAUUAGGGAAGAACAAACGUGUAAGUAACUGUGCACGUCUUGACGGUACCUAAUCAGAAAGCCACGGCUAACUACGUG